ACCAAAUAAAUAGAUCAUGGCUGGCUAGGUGGGCAGAAUUUGAUAUUGAUAGAAGUAAUAUGACCACAUAUCCUCGUGCUGCCAAUAAAUGAUUUUCUAUCUAAAGUUUUGGGUGAUAAUGUUGGAUGUUUUACUCCAGGUAGAUACAAAACUCACAACAUGGCGAGGUAAGGUGCAGCAAUUUAGUGAACGUUCAGUGUGUGUGUGUGGAUGUGUUUUUCUUUCUUGGUGUAUGUUUGAGUUGCAGUAGUUCAGGCAGGUCAAGAGACGGAUCCCUCAUAGUGAAUUUGGACAGACGGGAGUCUGAGAGGCAGUUCAAAGACCAAAGGCCCACAGGCAACAACCAACACUCAGACCGCUGCCUGUGUGUGCAUGUUUGUGUGUGUGUGUGUGUGUGUGUGUGUGUGUGUGUGUGUGUGUGUGUGUGUGUGUGUGUGUGUGUGUGUGUGGGAGACAGAGAGACAGUCAGACGGAGGCCGUGUUAGCGCUGAUUAGCGAUUAGCAGGUCUUGAGGCCGACGGCGCGGCUGAUCAGUAUUUCCUCUGUGUCGGAGCUUUAGGGAACAAAUCCCGACAUUAACCCGGCUCUCAUCUGGCUGGCAGAGCGCUAGCAGCAGCCUGCCAGCCAUAGGCCGAACAUCCAGCUACAACCGCCAGCUACAGCGCGAGAAUCCUCCUCUGACGGCGCCUCAUUGUUUGUCUCAUUUCAAAUCAAAACCCCAUUUGAUCACGAUCGAGCUUCUAAUGUUGCUCCCGACAUCAAGGUUGAUGGGCCGUGACAUGCGAUUUUUUUAAUAAGUAUAAAGUUUGUCAUAGUCUGCUCGAGAAGAAAAUGACAUUCAAGCAGUUCCCCUUGAGGGCGAGGCAAGUGGAUUCCUAUAGUUCUAUUAAAAGCAUAAUCCCCUUGAAGAGCAAUAACUGGAGCAAAAUGUUCCUUUUAAGAGCUGAUGUGUCUCUCACAAGACACCGGAGGAAUACUGACACGUAAUUGUUCCGGCUUCGGCUUCAUCACUGAGAGCCGAGGUCGAUUCCGCAGCGCUCGAAUGAGGCCGGCGCCAUCACAGAUUUCCACUGGGGAGGGUCAGCUCAUCAGAGAGCAUCUGCAAUGCAGAUUCUCUAGUUUUGAACAGGUUCCUUGGAAGGUCAGAGACCAUCAGUACUUUUCCACCUGGGGGGAAUCACGUGGUAAGUCUUCAAAAUAAGCCUCUGACCCCUGAAACAUCUGGACAGGUUAAUAAAAGUCCCUGAGCACCAAUGUACUUGAAUAACAAGGCACGUUAACCACUAACUUAAUUCAUUAGUGAAUCGAUGUAGGUGGAAAAGUGUCAACUGGCGAUAGUCAAGAAGGCUUUUUAACAGAUGUUUGAAUAUGUAUUUUUCCUUUACAUUUUUGAAAGCUCUUGAUUGAAACUUUUAUAUAGAACAUGGAUAAACCAAGUGCUUCUACUGCAAAAUGGGCCUUUCCUGGUCCCAGUGUUGUUUAUCGCAGCAGUUUAUUGUUGAUUGCUUUUGAUUGAUUAUAUUUGUAAUAUAAUAUUUUAAAAAGUCGGUUGCAGCAUUUUAAUUUUCUUUUUGUGCUAAGUUGUGUCUCUGUGGCAAGAUCAAACUCACCAAUCUGACUGUGGUCUGUUAAAAUAGAAAUAAUUUUUAAUAACUAGGUUGUCAAUUGUCUCUUGUGUAUUUACAUGAUAUUAUUUGCACUCUCAACGAUGUUUAUUUUUUUAGGGGAUAAUGAAUCAUAAUAAUGACAUUGUCAGACUUUGUUAAGAACAUUCCCCAACGUUUCUGAACGUUUCGCAAUGUACAAAAUUGCUUCUCCAUUUUUAUUUUCAAAUAAUUUAGUUUGGGCUAAAGUUUGUGUCGAUUGCCUUUUGUUUGUAAAUCUAUUCUAGGUUCUAUUGAACCUCUUUUUUAAAUACAAUUCAUUUUUUGUGAGUGCCAGUGAACCUAAGCAGCCUGUUGUGGUCUGACAGCUGACGGACUGGAGUCUUAUUGGUGGUGACGCGUAACAAUCUUCAGAAGAAGUCCCGCCCACUGUGGCCAGACCGAGCAGAGCCAGUCGAGCUGCUGUCAGCUGCUCAUCAAAUAGUCCUUUUCAUGUUUCCCUUUUUUCUCUGUUUGUGUGUGUGAAAAAGAAGAGUGUAUUCCAGUACACACACACACACACACACACACACACACCAAUGGAGCUUGUUGGUCUUAUAUAGCUGCUGUAAUUUUUUUUUCCUCCUUUUUUUUUUCACACACGCACACCGAUCCAUCCACCAACCCCGAUGUUGUCUGCCAGGAGGGCAACAUCAAAGAGACUGGCUGUGGGCAUGAGGCGCCUGGAGACUAGUGGGGGCCUGUGGAGUGAAGCGUGGGCCUGCAGAGGCUUCUGGAAAAGUCAAGUGUCCACAGGGAGCCUGGAGAACGAGGUGGGCCAGGAGAGCGAGGCGGGGGCGCAGGGGGGGUGGGGAGGGAGCGAGGUGUGGUAAGGCGUGCGGCGUGGAGCGGUUUCAUGAAAAGAGGCCGACGGUGGUCCUGCAGGGCGCGGUGGGCCUCGGGACUGCGGUCCAAGUCCAUGAAGGGAGGAUGGCGGUGGUCCUGGAGAUUGAGCGCAUCUCUGCAGAGCCUGAUGCAGGUGGAAAAAAAACACUUUAAAACUCCACACGUGUAGUGGAAAAGAAAAGUGAGCGGCGUGAAGUCUCACCAUGCGAGACGGCUUGGUGAAGUUUCUCAGAGUUGAGGGCCACAGCUGUCAGAGUGGCGCUCUUAAAUCCAGCUGUUGCUCUUUGUGACAAUGGAGCGUGCGUGCCGCUUUCUUGUCUGCCCUGGAUGGUUUAACAAGCAGAGAAAGCACUGGCGUCCCUGUGAACAAUACCUUUCCUCAAGGAGAUAAUGUCCUGUGUUUAUUGGCUGCAGGCAGAGGAGGGAGGCGAGCCUGCGGGAGGCGGUCAGGAGAGCGGGAGGAGGUGCUGGGAGGCGGGCAGGUAGAACACAGGACUGCCGCUGUUGCCUCUGCGGCAGAGAUCGGCUUCUUGCUCUCAUCUGCCCGUCAGAGCCUUCCUCUGGGCUGCCAGUCAAGAUGAUGGACAGCUGCCGGCGGAUGAAGGGACCGGGCCCGAUUGCACAAUGUUACCUGUGAUUUAUCUGCCUUUGUAUUUGAAACGUUUUUGAAUCCGUUUGUUUUCCUAAAGACAUACAUGGUUGUGUUUGUAAAUGUUUUGCUUGAAAAUCACUUUUAAAACUUUUAGCCGUGUACUUGUUUCAGGGGCGUAAAUGUUUGUUGGUCUUGUUGGAGAAUUCAUUUCAUUCAUGAACCAACAUAUAUGUCUGUUCAACGAAAUAUACAAACUGUUCCUAAAUAUCCUUUUCUUCUUUGUCAAAAAAGAGCUUUUUUUCUGUAUCCAAAAUAGUGACAGUCAACAGUUUCCUUCUAAAUGUGUUUAAUGUGUGACACAAAAUUGAAGAACUGGCCCAUCAACCCGUAGUGAACUCUCUCACUUUCAGUAACAGGCCGUUUCUGGAAACAAUUGCAAAGACUAACAACAUUUCUUCCUGGCGACUGGACCGGACGUGAGGUCUUGUUGGACACAAACUACAGAUUGUAUUUUAUGAAUCAGAAUCCGCACAAUAAGUGUGAAAUUGUUAAUUUUUAAAUCCCUUUGUCAACCAUCUGGCUGCAAUAGAUCAACUAAUGAUACUGUAAUUAGUGAAAAAUGAAUGUGUGAAUGUCUUUGUGUGCGUGUGUGUGUGUGGAGGAUCAGUAUUCUAAUGAGGACAGACAAAAGAAGUCUGUAGCUCUGAGCCAAUUGGACGGCGGAGCACAGCAUCAGAGAGAGGAAGCCGGGGAGGGGAGGGAGCUAGUUGGGGGUUAGGGAGGGUUCAGGCUGGUGGCAGUCAGUGCCUCAGGCGGGGUUUUGGGGUCAGGCCCCCCCAGACGGCCACACCGGCCCCCCCGGGCCCCGGGAGGGGGGACACCAGGACCACGCUGGCCAAGGGAGGGGCACUUAAUUAGGGCAACGUUCAAAAUUUUAGGCUGGCGCUUCAGAAGAGAAGGCCACCUGAUACCGAUACACCUCAAACAUCCUCCUCCACACAUAUUAAAUGCACCUACUGCUAAUUGACACACUCGAGGGUUGGAAAGGUUUUGGACGAAAACGAUGCUAGUUUUUAAUGUUAGGGAACAUUUUAUUUUUCAUUAUUUCCAAGUGAGAUUCACUCAAAAUUCACUCAGUAUUUACUUUCUAAAUAGUCUACUGCUCAUGACGAUAAAUAGGUUAUUAUUAUUAUUAUUAAUGCAUUAUAAUUACUGAUAUUAUUAUCGUUAUUACUGAUAUCAUUACUACAAAUUCUAGCUGUUUCAAUGUAAUGAAUCGAGGAAUCAAACAAAGAUACUUUAGAGGCUCAAAGUCCACAUGUUAACAAACAGCACAUAACGGCAAAUUGCUCUGUGGUUAGUGAUUUUGGAUCCAAUCUUUUACCGAUCCGGUUUCUUAACGUCUAACUGAGUAAAAAAACGUUAUGUUUUACUGGCUUUGCCCGGCUUGUUUGUCCCAGAAGUGUCCGUCUGUCGGAUUUUUCCUGGCCAGUUUCAUGCAGUAAGUAGCAUUAGCAUGCCUAACAUCUCAGCUGCUCCCAGGACUCCCAGGAAAAGCCUCCCAGUCUCUGCUCUCCUCGUUCGUACGACAGUUUGGGCGUCAUCGGAAAAAGCAUCUAAAUACAUUUCAAGCUCUUUAUCAUCUUUCACUUUAUUUUUCAAGCUGAAAUACAUGGAAUCCUUUUAGGAUUCUGUGCUGGAUCCAGGCAUUCCUCGCUGAUCUGCAGCAGUCGAGCUGUUCGUAGUCUCACUGUUGCAGGAGAUUUAGUGUAAUUAAUUGGUUCUUCUGGGUGUCAAGUGGUUUCAUCUCAUUUCAGUCGCCUUGUACAUCAAGCAGCCAUGUCUGCACCUGUUUCCAGCUCUCAGCAGCUGCCAACUGGGCCUCCCAAACCACUAUUGAUCCCAUCAGAUCACGCACACACACACUCAGAUGUAAAUGCUUUAUCCGUAUCUGCUAAUUAAAUUUGUCAGAGCGAGCCUCGAGUAUUACAGAAGUUCAGCAGGGUUUACUCUUAAUUUGUUAUUGAGAUGUUCUGCUUCAGUAACCAGCCGUCUUUAGGAGAACAUCACAAGUCAGAUUUAAAGUCUCGCAUGAUGACAAAGAAGAAAGAUGAACUAAAUGUACAUCAGCAGCUUGUUGUAGGCUCACUUGGUGCAUUAUCGAGGUUUGUACUGCCCGGCUCUUUCAGAUGAUAUCUGGAAGGUUCGGUAGAUUUAUUCUGGACCAUGAAUUCACAAAUAGUAGCUGGAGGCUUUAUUUACCUCAAACGCAAAUAGAAGCAGAGAUUUCUUUGAAAUUGUAGAGAGUCUUUUACUCCUCACUUUAGGCCUUUGUUUCUCCCAGAGACAUUGGAAAUGUGACAGUAGAGCAUCUUCGACACUUAGAGGACAGGACACCACAUACUUUAGUUUUCUGCACACAUGUGUUUAUCUGUUUGACAUGAAACGCCUCAAAGUGCUACAGGACUGGGACUUUCUCUAGUUAAUCAACCAUCUGCAGAAGGUGUAAAGUUCUGCAGGAUUGAUGGAAAUCAACCAGUAACUGAUGAUAGUUUUUUCCGGACAAAGAGAAAAAACGAGAGCAACAGAUCAAUGUCAACAUGAGGAUUGUGUUUUUGUACGGCUGAAUUUAAUGCUAAAUAAAAGAUUAUGCUGAAUUUCAGAUUAAAGUAAUGUUGUUGUGUAGCCUGUAAUAUACCCAGUUAUCAUUACAGGCUUUAUUGUUCAAAACAAACAAGGUGCUUACAGUCCAUUCCACAAAUUUGGAGAAUCACACACUCAAAACAAAACUUCACCUUCAAUGUACCUAGUAGUCUCAACAACAGGGCAAGAAGGAGGGGUCGACAUCGGGGCCUCGGGCCCCUCGUGCUGGAAAGAAGCUUUUGUCCAGCACUUGACAAAAGGUCUCGCCUUGAAGGUUAAAGGUUAAGAGAGGCCACUUCCGACCUUUACAUUCCAGUUUGCAGAAAUUCCUCCAGAAAGAUUGGUCCAGAACUUAAAGGGCUUGUAUCUUUCAGAACAUUUGCAUACGGUGAACUGAACAGUACACGCAUUGAGCAGACCCUAAAAGACCAACUGACACUAAGAAGAAUGGAGCAGAUUCCUUGCAUGGACAAACUGACCAUUCGUUAAUUUUAGAUUCAUAUGCUUUAUGAAUGCGCUUGAGGAAGGUUUCCCUCCAAACUACAAAAACCAAAGAUGUCUAUUGAAAUAUCCACAGGUAAUGGAAAGACAUUUAUCAAUACAGCAGCAAUGAUGUGCUACAACUCAAGAAAUAAACACUGUGUAGCCAGUUCAUGAAGUCUCCAGCAUUCCAUACAUUCAAUUUGCACUUACAAUCUCUCUCUGAAGUAGCAGUAGCGUAUAUCUUUAAUUUGAACUUUUAGUGUUUAAGAUUGUACGAGAAAUCUGAUCGCGGGUAUCCUUUCAAACUGGAAGAAGAGAUUGUGUAAUCGCUGCGUCACAUAAUGAUCGAGCCUCGGGUGCUCACAGGGUGACAUGAAGACGCUGUGGUCAGGAAAACGUUGUUGCUCCUUUCAACCACGACAAAUGGCCGUGCAAACCGGAUCCGCUCUUUCCAUUCUCCCCUUUCACAACCAAAGCCCAUGACGUGCAACAUUCACAGGUAUUUCACGUGGAAAUGGUAUAAGGCCUAAAAUGUUCGUGUUGGCAAACUCCCACACACACUGAUGGGUAAAGGGAAUUUUUAAAUCAGCAAAAAUGCGGAAGAAGAGUUGAAAAAGUCAAUGAAACCCAGAGGAAGAAAGUCGAGGUCACCUCAGGUCAAAACAACAACUGAGGGCAUGAAAUAAAUGUGUGAGUUGUGUCGGCUUUUUGGGGAGCAUUGCUUCUGUACCCGAAUGGCCUGCAAUGGGCCUGUGAGCUGCGUUGCAAAGCAUGCUGGGGGCUUUGCAAGUGUCUCUGAAGAGAAACUCUUAAAUUAGAGAUUUUCAGGGCGCGCACACGCACACACACACACACAAACACGCAGACAUGGAAAACAGUGCGACGCGUUUUAAAGCUCAUCUGCAAACUGAUUCUGUCAGGGCGACUUAGUGACGUGCGGCUGCCUCCUACAGCUUUCCUCCAUAACGGCGGCGGCCUGCAUCGGCGUUGUGCCGUCCACCGGGGAGCAGGAGAGGCGGCGGGCUCUAAAUAGAGCCUCCCUCGGUUAAAUAUUAACACUCGCCUUCCUCUGACAGAGAGCAGGCCGCCGUGUCGCCUUCCAUCUCCACCACGGGGAGAUGCAACACAGCAUAGCACUCAACCGCACUCCGACAGCAACGCAUGGACACCACACCAGACGGACGCGACGCAUACACAGGAAUUAAGUUGAGCUUGUGCUUUGAAAAGGUUGAGGGCCCUUUUUUAUUUUAACAGUCAUCAUACAAACUUUUUUUGAUCUGCUUUCCAUGAUUACACAGCAGUCUGUUUUCAUACAAAAGAAUACUGAAAUCUACUGUUUUUCAAAAACGUUCUUUCUUGCAAUACAUUUCCUGCUUUUUAAAUCUUUAAUGCUUCUGUUGUAUUUUAUGCUGAAACGUUCUUUCAGAUUUUUCUCAAAGAUUGAAGAUAAAUAUGUUUAGAAGCAGUUGUCAAAUCAUCAUCAUUGGGCAAAUAAAAGUUAAACACAAUGCAAUGAGUUACUGGCGGCAUGAAGCUAGUUUCACUGCAGAUGUGUGUGCCCCCUCUCACACACACACACACACACAC
ensembl:lncRNA